rnacentral:rRNA from 1 species
CACAUGCAAGUCCAGCGGCAGCGGGAGGUGCUUGCACCUCGCCGGCGAGCGGCGGACGGGUGAGUAAUGCAUAGGAAUCUGCCCGGUAGUGGGGGAUAACCUGGGGAAACCCAGGCUAAUACCGCAUACGUCCUACGGGAGAAAGCAGGGGAUCUUCGGACCUUGCGCUAUCGGAUGAGCCUAUGCCGGAUUAGCUGGUUGGUAGGGUAAUGGCCUACCAAGGCGACGAUCCGUAGCUGGUCUGAGAGGAUGAUCAGCCACACUGGGACUGAGACCCGGCCCAGACUCCUACGGGAGGCAGCAGUGGGGAAUCUUGGACAAUGGGCGAAAGCCUGAUCCAGCCAUGCCGCGUGUGUGAAGAAGGCUUUCGGGUUGUAAAGCACUUUCAGUGGGGAAGAAAGCCUGUCGGUUAUUACCCGACAGGAACGACAUCACCCACAGAAGAAGCACCGGCUAACUCUCGUGCCAGCAGCCGCGGUAAUACGGAGGGUGCGAGCGUUAAUCGGAAUUACUGGGCGUAAAGCGCGCGUAGGCGGUGUGAUAAGCCGGUUGUGAAAGCCCCGGGCUCAACCUGGGAACUGCAUCCGGAACUGUCGCGCUAGAGUGCAGGAGAGGAAGGUAGAAUUCCCGGUGUAGCGGUGAAAUGCGUAGAGAUCGGGAGGAAUACCAGUGGCGAAGGCGGCCUUCUGGACUGACACUGACGCUGAGGUGCGAAAGCGUGGGUAGCAAACAGGAUUAGAUACCCUGGUAGUCCACGCCGUAAACGAUGUCGACUAGCCGUUGGGAGCCUUGAGUUCUUAGUGGCGCAGUUAACGCGAUAAGUCGACCGCCUGGGGAGUACGGCCGCAAGGUUAAAACUCAAAUGAAUUGACGGGGGCCCGCACAAGCGGUGGAGCAUGUGGUUUAAUUCGAUGCAACGCGAAGAACCUUACCUACCCUUGACAUCCUCGGAAUCCGCCAGAGAUGGUGGAGUGCGUUCGGGAGCCGAGUGACAGGUGCUGCAUGGGGGUCGUCAGCUCGUGUUGUGAAAUGUUGUUAG